CCGGGAUAGUAGAAGUCAUGGACUCGAAGAGUAAACCCCUUGAGGCGUGGGGGGACAUGGCUGAUAUCCUCCACAAGGCUUGGAAACGGUUCACCAACAAAGCUCCGGGUUUAAAGAAUAAAGAUCUUCGAAUAAAACAUGUACCGGUAAGUACUAAUGGCUAGGCCGCGCAUCUCUUUGAUUCUAGUUUCAAUACAAUUAUUAUCAUCCUUGAUUAUAUAUAUAUUAUUUUGAUUGAACUUUGUUCUCGUAAAGUGCUUGAGGCAAGAGGACGGGAAUAAUUUAUGCGGGUUCUACGUUUGCGAGUUCAUCCGCCAGAAUACCCAUCAUGUGAGGGACAUUUUGGAACAACUUGAUAUCGAACGGUUGCGGGACGGUCUUCUAGCAACAGAGCGUGUACGAGCAAUUCAAGAAGAACUGGCGGGGUUCUUACUUGAGCAAGUCAUAGCUCCAGAUGGAGAACACUAUGUGGACAACCGCCAAUAUCAAAGUUGAUGUAGACAUAUAUAUAUAUGCAUGAACGUGUGUCACUUUGAUCGAUAUAUGUAAUACAAUGGUUUCCUAUAUAUAUAUUUGAAUUGUUUGCAUUAA